CUCCCCAGCAAACUUCCAGCUGCCAGCUGAUGAUUGGCUCACAGCCACCCCAGCAAACUUCUAGCUGCCAACUGAUUGGCUCCUCUGCAGUGAUGCUCAUUGGGCUGUUUCCCAGCCCUUUCAGACCAGGGACCUGCUCAUUGGGGAACUUUUUUUUUGGCUCUGCCCACAGGACCCAGCCAAUCAGCCUCAAGAGCAGGAGGAGUGGGGGAGGUUGAGAGGCUUGUGGGAAGCCAGUGGUGGCAGUUGGGCUCUGAAGGUUUUUCCUGAGGAGCUGUGUGGUUUGGUGUGUGUGUUCUAAAAAUAAAGUUCAUUUCUUUUGACAAGUGGCUCCUGAAUUGUUCCUUAGCACUACAUAAAAAUGAAACAAAAUAAAGGCAUGCUGUCCACCCACAACUACAAAAAUUUUUUUAAAAAUUAUCAAAUU
rnacentral:lncRNA from 1 species